GGAUGUGAGGAUGAACUGGCUGUGACAUCUGUCACCCCACUGAUUGCCCAGGUUGAUUUUAGCUGAUCUAGCUGGCUAGGUGGGAGUCCCCUUGCUCCCUCACCACUCCAUGUACAUCCCACCCGAAGCUGCAAAGCUGUGUGCUUGGUCAAAGAGGAUGACCUUCCCCGAUAGAGGAGGAGUGGUCUUCAUUCAAGGGUAUACAGACUAGCUGAGCUCCCCUGCUAGAACCUCCAAACAAGCUCUCAAGACAUGAAAGUAAAACUAAGGAAAAAAGUAAUAGCUGCUUCAGAUGAAGUCUGAAUUAUGUACAAGCCAAAAACUAUUAAGAAUU
ensembl:misc_RNA 7SK 7SK RNA